ACAUUUUCUGGUUAUUUGGAAGAAAACAUCACUAAUAAAACUCCUGCCCCAAACAUCACCCAUACAUUUUGUUUCGAUUCUCUCUUCUCUCCUAACCUCUCCACUUUCUCACUCCUCUUCGAAACACAACAUUCACGGCCAGCAGAACCUUUGAUUCGGCAAUAAAUACGAAGCUUCUGGUCUACGAUAAAGCUCGAUUGGAGUUUGCUAAUCUCAGUCGCGCCUUCAGUAAUUUCAACUCCCAACUCCAAGUAAAGUUCAGCCAGGUCCUCUCCAUCUUUAUCUCCUUUCCGCUAUGUGUAAAUUAUGUAUUGAUGUGGAUCUAGGGUUUUAUUGUUGGUUUGCUUUACUCUUGUCAAGUUAUUUGAUUUUGGCAAACCUAUUGUAACCUACUGUUCUGAAAUUUGGAGUAGUAAUCACACAUUUUGAGAGCUUAAUGUGGUUAUUUACAACGAUCUUCGUUUCCUCUUCCUCUCAAGGUAAACCGUCCUCUCUGUUUUCCUUCGCCUCUAUAAUUUUUGCGAUAUGAAUUGAUCUAUAUAUGUGAUUUUUAUUUUGUUUAGAGGCAUGUUCGAUUAGAUUGUAAUUUUAGUUUUUUUUUGCUGUUCUUUAAUCAAACGAUGGUGAAUUUCUGUAAUUGACAUCCUGCUUCAAUUAAUUCUUGUGUACAAUUCUAAAUUUUGCUUGUGGAACUUAUGAAUUUGUUGAGCUAAUCUUUGGUUGUUUUUUUGGGGAUUGGACCGGUUAUGGUGACUUUUCUUCAAUUGACAGAAGUAUAAGAUUAUAGACUUGUGAAUUGAUGACCUAGUGUUUGAUUGAUUGGGAAAUUUAAGUAUUUGCGUUGAGGAGCUUGAUUUGAUUUAAGUUAAUUGAAAACCACCACAAUAAUCGCUCUAUUAGCCUAGUUCUUUAGUCGCCAGAUUGUGCAUUCGUAAAGCGACGGUUUAGCAUAUAAUACAGAGUUCUUAUGGUCGUUUUCUGGUCUUAUUCUCCAGAAAAUUUGAUUUUGAAAAAUCAACGCGUCUGUGGGAACUGAUGCUCAAGUGGAUGAUGGUAUUUGGUGCAGUCACUAUCAUGAGGUUAUACAGGGCCAUAUAAACAGUUGAUGAGAAGGUAAUUUCAACUUGCCGAAAAACAAUGAUAUCUCUUGGAUUUGGCCGCGGCGUUACCGAGCUAUGGAUCUGUUGUGCUUCUUUAAUUGCAAGUGACUGGGAGUUGGAGUUGGUGCAUAGAUUCGUAAGGAAGUUGGUAGCCUCCUCCUCUUUUCCUAACUUUUGAAUCCCAACACCAAGAAAGAACACCCUUCAGCAUUGAGCUACUUCCAAGAGAUGAUAAGUGCAGCAAAGGAGAAACGUAUCGUCGUGUUUUUAGAUUAUGAUGGGACUCUUUCUCCAAUUAUGAAUGAUCCUGACAGUACCUUUAUGUCUGAUCUGGAUAAAGAAAGUAGCCUCCAUCACCUAACAACCCAAGAAGAUUACUAGAUGGGAAUAACUAUGUAUGCGAGUGUUUGGUGAACAGUAUCUCUAGUUAGGAUUUAUUACAGUUAUUUUUGUUAUUGUGUUGAAUUGAUGUAAAGUAUUACUCCUGAAAUUAUAACACAUUUGAUGAUGUAGUUUGGAAUACUUUUGGUUUUUAUAUACGAAAAGUCAUUUUUAUAA